rnacentral:rRNA from 1 species
GACGAACGCUGGCGGCGUGCCUAAUACAUGCAAGUCGAACGCAGUGGGGACGGGUGAGUAACACGUGGGUAACCUCCCAUCAGAGGGGAUAACACUUGGCAACAGGUGCUAAACCGAUACUGAUGGAUGAACCCGCGGUGCAUUAGCUAGUUGGUGAGGUAACGGCUCACCAAGGCCACGAUGCAUAGCCGACCCGGGAGGGUGGUCGGCCCAAACGGGACUGAGACACGGCCCAGACUCCUACGGGAGGCAGCAGUAGGGAAUCUUCGGCAAUGGACGAAAGGCUGACUGAGCAAAGCCGCGGUGGUGAAGAAGGUUUUCGGAUUGUAAAGCUCUGUUAAUCGGGACGCGGUACCGGAAUAGAAAGCCACGGCUAACUACGUGCCAGCAGCCGCGGUAAUUC